UUUUUCAUUUUUUAUCGUCUCUAUUUCUGUUAUUAUUUCAACUUUUGCUAGCUGUAACUUUAACUUUUGAUAUCAAACAUGAAAUAUACAAAUCUUUCAAUUAUAGAAUGGAAAUCCAAAUUUGUGUGCAGUAUGGUAACUAUUCAUCACAGGAAGCAACAAAGGAUCAGAGAGAAAAUAUAGUUGAAGCUGAAACUUAUGCAGAUCAAAGUAGUCCAAGUUCAGAUGUGGAAACUGAAUUGUUCAUUGGUCUUCCAGAAACAAGAACAAGGCGCAUUUCUCCAAAGGUGUAGCUAGUUGAGGACUAAUUAAUCCCUCUGACUAUGCAAAAGAAAAAUAAGGGUUAGGAAAAAUGUAUAUUUAUGUUUCCUAUAUUUAUAAUGUAUGCUAUCAUUCAGGUAGAUAAUAGUGGUGAAUUGUAAGAGUAGUUAUCUCAAACCUAUGAUCUAAAAUUCUAAAUGAGUAUAAGAAGUACUCGAACCAAUACAAAUCAAGCAGGAUACAACAUCAAAACCUAAAACCAACAAAUAAUACACCAAUAGAAGACUGAGGCCUUAAUUUUUUUUUGUUUUCCUUUAUUAACUUACACGAUCGCUCAUAUAUUUUUAUUCAUUUAUUUGACAACACAUGAUUAAAUACGUGUAAAAUAUAGUGAUAAUGUAUCCCUUCAAAAAAAAUGUGUAUAAAUUAAUUUUUUUUAAUAGAGAUAAAUUUGAUUUAAAGAAUUAAUUGUAGGGGAUAGAGUAACUUAAUACAGCAAACAUUGAGAAUUAGCAUUGUUGGAAAAAUAGAGGAUCAAUAUUGUAUGCAUUUGGUUAAUUGACUCUUUCAACCGAAUCUCUCCUAUUGAUUCUAGUCUCUCAUAUCUAUUCUAGUCUCUUCAUUUUAGAAUGAGUGUCAUUUUAGUUAAAAAAAAUUGUUUUAAAAUUAAAGUCAUUUUUAUUUUUAGUGUAAAUUAUAAAUUUUUUUUUCAAUUGUACCCUCUAAUUAAUACCAUGUAUACUACUUUUAAAAUAUUAUAUCUACUUUACAUUUCUAAUGGUGGGAAACCCAAUUAUAGAUAAUAAGAUUAGUUUAGUAAAAGUGUGAUGUCUUUUGACAAUUUUAUUGCAUAAUCUGUGUUUAAUAUCAUUAAACAAUACUCUUUUUAAAUGGAGAGAGUAAUACAACGAGUUAUAUCAAAUUUAUGUGAAAUCAUCAAAUUUAGUGAAGCCCAUUUGAAAAUAAUGUAUAAAACGAGCAAAGAUUGAGUUUAGCAUAAGAGGUUACACUUUCACAACGUGGUUAACCAAUAUUUGAUUCCUCGCUGGUGUGUCCACAUUUAAAUAAAAAUUGUAUUAGAGAGAGGGUUAUUAGUAUUAUUCGUUUAGGGUUUAAGGACUUGUUUGGAUAUGGUUUAUUUGAGCUUAUUAACUGUUAUAAAGUCUUCCCUUCAAAAAAUAUGGUAUACGUCUUGUGAGACUAUUUUGAAGAACUUAUGAAAAUAGGCUAUGACAUUGUUCAUAAGCUCUUUUCAGCUAAGUUUCAUAAAUGAUCUAAGAUAUCUUAUGAAAACAACUUAUAGCUAAUUAAUUACAUGAAAACAAUUUAACAUUAUUUUAUAUUUUUUAUAUCGGUUUUUUCUACAUUACCUCUUGAUGAAUGUGGAGUAAUUUACCAUAUCAAAGAAAAGUCCUCUUUUUUCAUCUUUAUUCUUACAAUCAAUUACUAUUUUCAACUCAAACAAACUUAUACAUUUCUUUCAUUCAAUGUGUGUUAUCCAUCUCCUACGUUUCAGAAUCGAAUUCUACUUGUCAUUAGAGGUAAUUUAUCCUCAAUUCAUUGAGGGGUAAUGUUGGUCUCACCACAUAUAUCAUUAAACAUAAAGAUUCUCUCAAAUUUUAUCUCUCAAUUUUCUCAAAUUUUAUCAAUUUCACCGUUGAAUAGAAUAGACAGAUAAACUUUUAAUAUAAAAAUGAGAGUAAAAAUUUAACGGUGAUAUGGAUAACACAUACAUCCUUCGGUCACUAGCUAUUAUAAACAAAAAUAUAAUUUUUAGAUUCAUUAAAAAAAGGGUCUUGUUAACGAAUGUCUCCGGAACACUCUUUAAGCAUACUAAAAUAUGCAAUUAUUCUUUAAAAAAGUUGAAUAUUUCGAUUUCCAAUGCAAUUAACACACACAUUUUCAUAAAUAUUUACCACUUAUAGUCCUUAACUAAUGUCCCUGGGGCACUAGUUAACAUUUUCCUUAAAAAAUGAUGUAUAUUGUUCAUAUAUAGAUCACAUACAUCAUUUAUUAAAUAAAUUUAAAAAGUGAAUUUUUUUUAUUUACAUUAAUGAGGGAAAGGUGUAAGUACAAUGAAAGAAAAAAUCUGAGAGAAAAAUGAAUCCUCUCUGCCAAACAAAAACUCUCAAUUUUAUCAUAUGUUAUCAAUUUCAAUGUCAUCAUUAAAUAGAAUGUGUACCCCAUAAAGGAAUGGGGGGACAAUAUUCCAAAGAGUACUUUCUUUUAGGUAUAACAUUCCAAUGACUAUUAUUUCAUCUGAACUGAGAAGAAAAAAAAAAUCUGACUACCAUCUCUUAAAUACUAGUUAAAGAAACAAUUAUAUUCAUAAUCUCUUAGAAUUUAUGUAAUCAAAUAUUUAAAAGUGUAAGAAACAUUAUUCUUAAUGUAAAAUUUAUCUUUUUUUGUUCAUGUGGGCACAAAAUUAGUCGCACAAAGAUCAGAGAAAAGGUAACAGCAGCAGGUUUAAUAAGAAGCACACAUAAUUGUGCAACUAUAUAUAUCAUCAUCUGAUUGAUCUAACAUUUUCAAAGGCAUGGAAACAAACAGCUCAUGCACGCUGCUCAGUGGUCCCCUCCACACAACAAGGCAUUACAAUUCACUGUUCCUUGGUUACAUUAAUUUGAUACUUGAUUAGUUUUGCGUGCUGUCCACUGACACGUUUCGAGAGUAGAAGAAACCUUAGUAGUUUUACAUAAAUGGUAUUUUCUUCUCUCGCCAUUCCCAGUGUAUGACACGUGACAUGACAGCCAAUUCCACUUUCCGCAAAUAUACAUCUAGGGCACUAGUGCUCUUAAAAUUAAAAUUAAAAGAGAAAUGAUAUUUGAACAUCCAUUUAAUGACAAUUUUUGUGACAACUUUAUCUCUUUUAUUCACAUUAUUUUUACUUUAUCUCUCUAUUGUUUUGGUUUCCGUACAAAUACCUAUUUUUUCUUUAUAAAUUCCAGUUGUCAACCAAAUUGGUUGUUCAAAUAACAUUCCUCCUCUUAAAAUAACAUUACACUAUGAGCACUCGUCAAAAUAUGGGCUUCUUCACAUCUAAUUUUUUUUUUAGGGAAAUUAAUUUCAUUAAAAAUUAAAUCGGUAAUACAUAUGGGAAUCUCAUCAAAGAUACGGAAGUUAGUAUUAGAUGUAGUUGCCUUAGCUAAUUCAUGUGCAAACCUCAUUUGUUUGCCUUCUAAUAAACUCCACAUGAGAGUUUUAAAUAGGAACUAUAGAAUUGGAUACUACUAUCCAUAAUGGAACCCAAUUCGGUGACAUCUCCUCGACCUUUGUUAAAUAAUCAGCUACUCUUUUCGAAUCAACCUCAAAAGCAACAUUUACGAGCUGAAAUUUAUGUAUCCAUCGAAUUGCAUGAUAUAGACCCAGGGCCUCUCCAAUGUCAACAUCUAAAACUAUAAAGGAUGUUAGUUAAGAACGACAUAUAGUCGAAUUCUGCUCUUGUCCUAUACACUUUUUCUCAUUUCCACCUUAACUGUCUAAAAUAACUUCAACGUAGAUUGACUCAUGUUGAACCAACGUGAGUUAACUUGCGUUGGAAGUUAACGUGAGUUAACUUGUGUUGAUUUUAGGUAAACUAACAAACCAUCAAUUUUUGACAUACAUAUUGUUUUUUUAAGCUCUUAAACGUACAAUAUGUUAUGUUCAUUUUUUAAAAGCAUGUCUUAGCUUAGAAAGAACAUUUCAUUCGCUAAUACAUUAAAUUAAAUUCGUGGUUGUAAUUUGCUAAAAAUGUUGGCAUUAUAGUGUCUUAUACUUGGUGUAAAAAUUUGCAAGUCUUUUUCAAAACUCAAAAGAAUGAAGAGAACAUGACACAUGUAUUCUACCAAGUCAGUUAUACAUGUUCUCACAUCGAAUUCCUUCAUAUAAGAUGAGUAGUAACGUACACGUAUGCAUUCCAAUAUUUUUUUUGGACUUAAUCAUACUGGUCUGCCAACUGACAAGUUUCAAUUAACAAAGGAGCAUGAUCAAGCUCAAAACAACAUCUUAGAAAUGCAUUCCCGUUUGUCACACUCAUCUUAUACGAAGAAAUUUGAUGUGAAAACGUAUAUAGUUGAUUCGGUAGAAUACAUGUUGUAUUCUCUUCAUUCCUUUUGAGUUUUGAAAGAGACUUGCAAACCUUUACACUAAGUAUAACACACUUCAAUGCCAACAUUUUCAUCAAACUAUCAUGAAUUAAACUUAAUUCCAACAAAAUAAACACACUACAUAAUAAUAUUACCUAAACAUCUUCAUCUAGUCGAAUCAAACUCUUGUUAAUAUCUUCAGGUGAUCUAAGCAAUGAACAGACGAAGCAUUCACCUCGAUCAUCGGGAACAUGUUGUGCUGACCAAAAAUCGAGAACAUGCUCCUCACGUCGUCGUCGUCGUUUGCGAGCAUCAUUCGGUUGAACGACAAUAUGCCAAUUGAGUCGAAUGAUGGACAUUCAUACCAAACUUCUUCCACCCUCUUUGUGUCUCCGUGGUUGAGUCAUUGGUUGAUUUCAUCCAGUUGAUCCUUCAGAUCUUUUAAUAUGACAUCGACCCGAACCCUAAACAAUUUGUUGGGAUUUCGACCAAUGAAGCAGACUUCAGCUUACAUUUUGUUCGGAUCUAUUGGAUAAUUGGUCAUUACUUAAGAUCUACACCAUAAGAAAUUAAUAACAAUCAACGAAAAACUCAUUAAAACAUUUCAUCAAACAAUUGGAGUGCAAAAUAUACUUAAACCCUAAAGCUAAAAACAACAACAUAAACAUGCAAACAUCUAAAUAUUUAAUCAACAUAAUAUAUUUACAUGUAAAAAUUGAAUCAUUUCUUAUAAAAAAAACAAAAUCUAAAUAAACCUUAAAACUAAAUCAUUUCUAAUUUAAUAAAAAUUGUAAGAUAUAAACAUAAAAUAUCAAUGGUAAUUGAUUAUGAAAACUUACUUGUUAUUCGAGUGGUGGGUGAUUUGAACUUGAUGAAAUUUGGGGUUGGAUAAUUUGAGAGUUUUUUUAGAGAUUUGAGAUGUAAAAUGGAGAAAUGAGGCACUAACUGAGCUAUAAAUCAACACAAUGUGACUUAACUCAUGCAGGUUAUAGCCCAACAUGAGUUAACUCACGUUCUGUAUGUGUGAUUUGGCAAAACAACAUAACUGAGUUAUUUUCCAUGUUUUCAUUCAUUCAUUCUUCCAUACACUCAUUCAUUCAUUUUCAUCCAUGUUUCAUCCAUUCAUUCAAUCAUUCAUUCAAGAUUAUAACAUGCAAAAUGAAACUGAAAAGUAAUCAUAAUGUCAUAAUAAUAGGCAAAGGCACAAAUGUAAACAUAUUACAUCAAAAUCCGCCAAAGUGUCAUAAAAAAAACUAAAAAUAUACAAAAGUCAUCAAAACACUAAACAAACUAUCCUACUGCUCCUAACUAUGGCUUCGCCCUCUAUCAUCCCUUUUAGUCCUCAUCUGGGGAACAAACCCCUCCUGGAUCAUGCGAUAAUCCUCAUCUAUGCUCAUCAACACAUUGUGAUAGUAUGGAUGUGGUUCAGGAUAUUACAAUGCAGACUCAAUUUUGGCAGUGAAGUUUCCCAAUAAUCUGGAGUGGGUCGGGAACUUGUCUCGCAUACUUCUCCUGAAAAAUAACCUCCUCAUAAGGAGGGAUAGGAGCUGGGUACUCAGCAAUGGGCGCAUGGUCGCUCAUAAUUGGAUGAGAGACACUAUAGAACCAAGCGAUGUACCCCUUCCUACACCUCCAUUGAUCUGCUGCUAUCUGCCGACCACGAUCAACUUGUGAAAGGACAUGAAGUAUAGAAUCUUGGAAAGCCACAACUACAUCCUCUGGGUUAAGAGCCACAAACAUAGGUAGGAGAUCUGGGAAAGGCCUGCAUAUAUCCGUAUUAUCUGAGAACCCGCUCCGGCAAGUGAAGGCACCUCGUUGUACUGUUGGCAAUGACCCAGCCGAAGUACCAACAAAUAUCAUGAAACAUAAUAAUGUGUCGAUGAUCCUCGUACGACCUCCAGAUGGCAUCAACAUUCACCACCAGAUCAAUGAGACCUUGAUAAUGUGAAGGAUCAGAAUGUCCCCUCAUCCGUUUAAACCGGCCAACACGCGAGUCACGAUGAUCAUACCCUUCACAAGCUUCCCCGGAUAGAGCUUCUUGAAGUGCUCCAACCUAUGUGUUCUGUUUUUUUUUUUUGUUGUUUAAGUUUUAUAAAGCGUUUUUAAUAAAGUGGGUAUAAAUUAGUAAAGUCGGUGCAAGUUAACAAACAUUUUAAAUGAUACAAAAUUAACCCUCAACUUGCUACUUUUAAAUAAUAAAAAUCAAUGAUUUUUUGGUCCAAAUAAAUAUGCGCUUAUUUGUUAAUUUAUACCUUAAUAUUUAGGUAGGUGUAAAUUAAUGAUUAUCCGGCUAUAAAUAAUAUACACCCCGCCUAUAAUUAUAUAGUUCUUGUAUUGAACUAUGGAGUAUCUUAAGUAAUUUGUUAUUUUAAUUUCUAUAACAAAUAUUUAAGAGCAAUUUUUACAGGAAUAUAUAGUAGAAUUUAAAAGUAUUAUCCGUAAGAAAACUUAAAAGGCAUUACUGUUAAAGAAAAUACAAGAGGUAUCUCGAUGGGACAUAAAAGUCAUGAUGACACACUUGAAGACAAGGUGCUUCGUUUACGACUUCUUAUUGGUUACUUCACGUACGUUUCUGUACGGACGACAGUGACAUGUUUCUAACAUUGUACUACAACAUUUCCUAACGUCAAAAAUAAAAUUGUACUACAAUUUUCCUUUGUUUUUGCCGCACAGUUUCUGCACCACUAUUCUAAAACCUUUCCUUUGUUAAAGAAAUUUUUCUCAUGUGUUUAAAGGUUCUUGAGAUCAUGAAGUGAAGUAGAGUUACUAUGUUCACCAAUAUUAAUAUUAAAAAAAGGUCUUGUUAACGAGUGUCUUAAGAAUACUCUUUAAGAAUUCUAAAUUAAAAAAUUAUUUAUUGAAAAAGUAUAAUGCUUCAAUUUCCAAUUCAUUAAAUGCACAAAUUUUCAUAAAAACUUACUAUCUAAACUAUUUAAAGAGUGCCCUUGCCCUAAGGGCACUCGUUAACAUUUUCCUUAAAAAAAUUAUUAUAACCUGGUUGAACUAAUUAACCGUAAACUCAUAUGUUAAACUUAGAUCUAGUUCCUAAAAAUCAGGUUCAAAGAAACCUUGCCAAGUAAUGUCAAGUAAAAAUAGAAGACAUGCAAAGAAAGAAGGAAAACUAGAAAGUGGGAAAUGAAUGUGUAGUGGCUGGAUCAAAGAAACUUUGCUCGUGAAAGUAUAUACAUACUCUUUCCCCGUUCCAAAAUAUAAGAAUGGAUCAACAUAAAUUGAUGUAUUUGUUAUAAAUAUAGAACAAAAUAUAUUAAUUUUUAUUGACAAAAUUUUGGAAUAGAGAAUCAUUUAUAGCCGGCGGCUGCAAUUAGUAGUCAUGUCGACACACCCGCCACAAUUAGCUACUCUAGGGGCGAUUUUGUGUCGUCUGUCCUGGCAAUUCGAUUGAAUGUAAGUAAAAUAUGUUCAAUCAUUGUUCCAAGUAGUAUUGAACUAAGGUAUUUCUUAUUGAUUCAUUCUUUAUUGAAUCAAUCUUUUUUCUAAUAGUAUUUUUAGCAUUAUAGAAAUAACAUAACAUUAUUUCAAAAAAUAAUAAUAAUAAAAUAACAUGUAGUCUAUUCUAUAAAAAAAUAAACUAGGAUCUUUCUUGUUAAAUUUAGCAUUUUAAAUAUAGUAUUAUAAAUGUUACUUGAUGAAUAAUUUUUAUUAAAAGCCAUAAUUGACUAUCAUACCAAAAUAUAUUCACCCAACCACAUUUUUAUUCAUUAAAUUCCAAAUCGAGUUUUGUUUUAAUAAAGGAAAAAAAAAUCAUUUUCUGUUUUGAGACCCUAAAUUUAUGAAAAGGAAAAUUGCUCCUCAAAUUGUCUAAUGUCGGUCGAAAUACUCUUAUGUAUAAUAUCUCUAUUAGAGGUAGUGUGUGUUUGAUACAUCAUCACCUCUAUCAGAAUUACUCAACGGGUGAAUGUUUUAACUAACUUUAAAUAAUUUAUGAGAACAAUUACAUAUUUUAUAUAUAUGAAGUGUCAUGAACGUUUUAACUAACUUUAAAUAAUUCAUGAGAACAAUGUGAUAUUUUAUAUUUUGUUAACAUCAAAAUUUAUUAAAACCGAAUCAAUGUUCAAGAAGAACAGAGACCGACAAGACAGAAACAAACAAAAGACGUUGUAUAUAGGCGGAACACCCAAAAGUAAACUACACCUCAUGCAUCAAAACACCCAUAAAAACAUCACCCAACCGAUAUCUAUCACCAAACAGAAUAAAAACUAACCAACACUACAACCAACAGCAAAGAAUUAAUGCCAAGUCACACACAACUGCAUAAUUCAAGUUGAGCUAAAACCCCAAACUCUAUAGUGAAUGCCAUCUGAAACUAGUUCCAAACAUCUAACACCCGCUACUUACACAAAAGCCUCCAAAAACCAAACAAAACACAUUCCCGCUGCUGAGCCCAAAACCCCCCGAAAAACACGUAAUCCAUCAUAGAUUCAGAAUUCACCACCAAUCAACCCCUGGUCCGCUGGAGAAUACACCAUAACAAGCCCAAAUAACAUUUUUUUAGAAAUUGACUUCCGAUCUCGAAGCAAAAGCAAUCGGCCCACCAUAUCACAGAAACAAAUCACUCAGACACCACUCAACUCUCGAACCACCAGAGAGAACACUGUAACCAUCUCAAAAACAUGAAACUAGACCCUGACUUCCAAACUCAAAGCAAAAACGAUCUGUCCACCAGAAUCUAGACUACAAAUCCCUAAGACAUGUACAGUAAACGGGUGUCCGACACUUACAAUUUAAACACCCAAAAUAAUGGUUUGUCCUCUAUAACCUUUAAAUAAUGACAUUUGAAUUGUAGUGAGCCAAUGUACCUGUAGCAGUUAUAUACAAUUUUAAAUAACAAUCAAAUGCAUAUUAUUAGUAUAGUAGAUUCUAUUUUUGGUAAAAGUACAAAUGACAAUUCACCAUCAAGCAAUUGAAAGUCGAAACCUGGCAUUGGGAGAUGAGUUCGCAAUGCAUGAUAUACAUACAUAUUUUACUAAAGAUUUGAUUAAAUUAUUAGUAACACUACUACCAAAUAUCUGUCCUUUCUUCCCACAAAAUAUAUUUUCUUUUUCCUUUCAUUUUCAAAUUGCUAUUGACUUUAAUCUAGAAAUUUCUCUUUUUGGGCAAGUAGAGCCUGAUUUAACCAAAACAAGUAAUUAUGAGGUUUCAAUUUUCUAAUAUGAAACAAUCAUUUAUUUCUUAAUAUGGUGGGGUAGCUUGGGGAAGCAAGAUGGGAUCAGGUUGAUUAAUAAGGAAAGGUAGGUUUGUGUCAUUGCUUUCUAUCUUAGCUAAAAAAGAUAGUCAAAUCCAAAUCCAAUCCUUUUCCUUGAAUUUACCUCAAUUAUGUAUCACUACUUUCAUUUGAUUCCUUAAAUCUUAUUUAUUUUUACCCUUUUCUUCCUUUCUUUUCCUUUUUUAGACACAACCCUUUAUUCCUCCUAUCCCUUCCUUGGUUCAUUUUUUCUUUUAUUUUUCCAAUUUGGUGCAAAUCUGCUUCCUUUUGUUGCUGGUAAGUUCAACUAUAUCAAUUAAUCAGAAAACCCCCCUUCUUAUGCGAUAUAAUUCUUGGUAGGUGUUUAGACCCUUUUUCUAGGAAUCUAUUUUACACCAUUUAAUUUUUUCAUAAAAAAACUUUGACAAUUGUGUCAUUUUCUUUUCAUUGAAAUCUGUAUAAAAAAUUAUUUAUUUUCUCAUUUCUUUGUUUCUUCCAUCAUUCAUAUAACCCACCCUUAAAAAUUUCCGUUCAUUUGGUUUUAUUGAGUGGUAAGUGAUUCUCAUCUUUUUGGUUUUUUUUCCCUGUCUUUUUUUUGGUAAUAAGUUUUUUUUUUUUUUUUUUUUCCCUUUCUAUUUCCUAUAGUUUUCUAGAUCUUAAAAUGGCCAAUAUUUUCAUCCCUUUUCCUUACAUGGUUUAAAUUGUGUUUUUCCUUCUUGGUGAGGACUUUUUUUGUUAUGAAUUGAAAUAGGCUUCAAUAAUUUAUUUUAUUUUUUAUUUUAUGCUAUAAGUAUUUGUAUACCUAAUUUUUGUUGUUGUUGUUUUUAUGAUUUCAGCAAAGAAAAGGAAAAAAAAUGGUGAGAGGAAAGACACAAAUGAAGCGUAUAGAGAACGCAACAAGUAGACAAGUAACAUUCUCAAAGAGAAGAAAUGGUUUGUUGAAGAAGGCCUUUGAACUGUCAGUGUUAUGUGAUGCUGAGGUUGCUCUUAUUGUUUUCUCACCAAGAGGGAGGCUUUAUGAAUUUGCUAGCUCUAGGUAAGUACUUUUUUUUUUCCGACUUAAUUAAUUUUUUUAUCCUCAACUUGUGUGAUUGCAUCUCAUGAUAAUUUUAUACAUCAAGGGUUUCUUUAAUUUUUAUUGAGCUAGUAAAUUUUUUGCAAACUUUUUUGUUUUUGUGUGUUUGUUUAGUGACUGUUGUAGUAUAUAUAUAUAUAUAUAUAUAUAUAUAUAUAUAUAUAUAUAUAUAUAUAUAUAUAUAUAUUUUGUGGCUUUUCUAAUUCCAAUGUUAGAAUGGAAUCAUAAGAUGAUAUAUAUUAUUAUCUUUCUAUAUAAACUUUUUUAUUGACUAAACAAAUAGGAGUAUACAACACUACAACUCAUAUAUACAAUUUUCCUUCGAUUAUAUAAAUCACAAAUAAAUCUCUUAAGGUCACACCAACAAUAAAAGAUUACCAUGAAGCUACUAACUUUUCACACAAUCGAAGACCGAAACCAACACUUGAUAUAUCUGUUAUAUCUGUUCUGAUAACAUUAAGUUAUAUAGGGUUGAAGUAGCACGGAAAGAACUAGAACAUUUGUAGUUGUUAGCUUUGAUAUAUAUAUAUAUAUUUCCAUUUUAAAAAAUAAUGUGUACUUGGUGUAUCAUAUAUAUGUAUUAUAAGCACUGACACACAAGUUCACUAUAUUAAGAUAAAAUGAUAGAUCAUAUUCACAGUUAAGAGAGUUACUAUUCUUAUAAUAAGGGUAAUAUUAAUACCGUAAACUAUGGGGAUCAAUAUCAUUAAUAGUAAGAGUCUUUACACGUUCAAUUAAUCAUAACCGUUAGAUCAUUAAAAUAGUUUGUAUUUAAUAAUAAUUACUCUAAAAAAGGCAUAUAUAUUUUAUGCUUACAUGUAUUACAAUCAUACUCUUGUAUUAUUGAGUUGAAAUUAAUCAUAACCUAAACUAGGGGAUAAAUAUCAUUAAUAGUAACCAUGGUGAAGGCGUGAAGCUAUCAUCAUGACAUAUACAUACAAACAUUUAUAAAUUAACAAAAUAAAAUAAUUAACAAACAUUUGUUAUUUUGAGGCAAAUGAGCAUGAAUUAUUUGAACAUGUGAUUUUGAAUUCCAUUCUUAUAAAUAAUUUCUUCUUUCUCAUUCAAUCAAAUCAACCCUUGGAUUGGGUGUAUCUUUAUAGAGUUUUGUGUUUGCAGUCAAUUUUUUGGACAAAAAUAUGAUUUUAUCUUUAUAGAGGAGCAUUACAUUUGAUAAAAUUGGAUGUUGAACAUAUAAAUGAGAAUUACAUAUAUAGUCAAUAACUUAAGAUUUUGGGUGAUAUCAUAUCUUAAGUUAUAUGUGAUAUCCGAUUCAAUUAAGUUACUGUCCAAUGCCUAAUGUAACGAUCCUCCUCCGGUACUUUAGGCUCCCUUCACGCAAUAUUCUCUUUACGAGUUGGUCAUGGAAACUUCCCUUAUGCUUGAAUAAAUAGGGAUCGGAUCGGCCUUUCACUCUUGGAGCUUAUCGGGUUUUGGCACCAUUUUUUAGUCUUUUGUUUGGUUGAUAUUCCAUAGGAUUGGUUUCCUUUGUAGUUGUUCUGUCAGUUCAUGUUGUUUUGUAUUUUUGUUCACGGUGCUUGCCCUUGUUGAGGCAGCCAUUUCUAUUAGCUCUUGACUUUUUUGUACUUGGUUUUAUCUUCUUUGAUAUAUUAAUUUGCCAUCAAAAAUAUUCUUUAGUGUAAAGAGACAAUAUACAUUCUAGCUGAAAUUUGAACUUGGAGCUUCACCUUGAAAAACCAUUGGAUUUAUUUUUUUAAGGGAUUUGUUUCUGUUUUAGAUCCAUUGAAUUUGUUGGUGCCGUGUAUUUUGGAUUUGUGAUAUAGUUUAAUUUGUCAGAUAACUAACUUAGGAAAGAAAAUUUCUCAAUAUGAAUAUUUAUUAACAUAUGGUUUAUUUAAAUUGAUCCCACACGUCCAUUUUUUUAAUUAAUUAAUAGUCUCUUGUUAUGUCUUAGUUUUGGGAGAGGUUUCCCUUAACCUGUUUCAAACCCUAAAAAUAAUUGAACAAAUGCAUGCAUAAUUACAUAUUUGUUCAAGUAUAUUUUCAAAAAUUUAAUUUAUGUACAUUAUUAAUGUAAAAAAUUUAUACAUCUACUUAAUGAAAUAUUGUUACUUAUUUUAUGAAUAUAAAAUAUCAUAUGUUUUUAACUCAUUGAUUGACGUGACAAGACAUUAUUUGAUACACCCGUAAGAGUUAUUUAGUUUGACAAUGUACUUAAAUUAAACUUAUUUAUGAUAUUCUUUUGUUCCUUUUUACAUGCAUGAGUGAUAAGUCUCAACUGAUAUAUUAUCAACAAAAAGAAAAUCUCAAAUGAAAAAUAAAAAGUCACAAAUGAAAAUGACCAAUUUUGUUGCAUUAGAAAUUGAGCUUGUCUAGUAUGAACCACUCAAAGAUAUCAAUUUUGGGAAAGUAUAUGAAUUUUAUAAUAAUAACAAAGAUAAAUAAUGUAAUAUGUUUUUAAAAUUUAUUAAAAAUGUUAAUUUCCACCUUUAAAACUGGUUAGAGUCCAUAUGAGAGGCAUCCUUAAAUAUCUGCACAUCUUUCAGCACCAAGAAAAACGUGAGUGGUGCAUACCUUUGUUUUUAUUUUACAAUGACAUGUACAUAUCUUUCACAGUGAUUAUUUUUUUUGUUUGAAAGAUUUAGUUACAAUAUAGUGAUAUUUUAUAAGUGCAUAUGUUUUAUAACUUUUUGAUGAUUAUUGUUUUCAUGUAAUCGCAAGUUAUCUAUCAUUUUUUGUUUUGUUUUGAAAAAUGCAAAGAUUAUGAACAAGUCAUCUAUCAUGCUCUUAACUCUAAAAAUAAUCAGGGUUAGCAUGGUAUAAUACGAAGUUUCCACCGUUAUUUAGUGGUGAUUUAUCUUCGUCGGAGAAUCUACGUGACAUAUAAAACGGGUUCUCUAUUCUUAUGAUCCUUUCGGAUCUAAGAUGGCUGGCCUGAGGGUUGAGAAUUGAGAUCCAUUAUGUAGAGGGAAGAAAUCGUUAAGGGUGAAAAAUACACAGAGUGGGGUGAAUUGUUUUGGUCUCUUUUUUGAAUUAUAAAACGAUUGUUGAAAGUAAAGAGAUAAGGGAGAAGAUAUGAUUCAAAGUGUUAUACUAGUUAACAAAUAAACAUAAGAAAUAUUCUUUAAGAAAUUCAUAUGGACUCUUGUUUAGUAUACGUCUAAUAUAUAUAUUCUAUUUUAAACGAAACAUGUUGUGUUUACUGCUUCUGCGCAAAAACGUUUUGCAAUCCUUGACUCACUAAUCAUUGGUUCGUCUCAUGCCUAAAAAUGCUUUGUAAUCCUUGACUCACUAAUCAUUGGUUCGUCUCAUCUCUUGCAAAGACCUGUUUUUCCUUUCUACAACCCUAUUUUGUUGUGGAGUCCCAGGAGAGGAAAAUCAUGGAUGAUUUUAUGAAGACACUAAACACAUCGUAAGACACAUCCUUGCUUCUCAGAAAUUUCAUCCAAGUUCAUCUGCUAAAGUCACCAACAAUGAUCAAACCAUGUUUCUUUUCUUUGAUACAAGCAAUAUUAACUGGCCCAAACAAAUCAAUGUGCAAAAGCUCUAGUGGCUUAGAGGUAAAAAUAAUGUUUUUAAUUUUAAAGGAGUUUUAACUAAUUUUCCUUUUUGACAUACCUCGCAAAAAAGCGUUCAUUCGACUCUCAUACCCCCAAACACUCCACUACCAUUGAAGAAGUUCACUCUAGAGGAUAACAAAUGGAAAUUCAAUUGCUACAAAAACACUAUCACUUUUGAAACAUCACAACGUUUCCACACUUUUCCCACCUCCCCGAUUAAAAAGGAGGAAUAAAUUCCCGACAUAAAUAUAGAUAGGUAGAAUUCACAACAGUGAACGUACUAUGGUUGUGCAUCAAACGAGUUCGGUCAAUUUCGGGCCACAAACCUCAAACUAGAGUUGAACAAAAUAUGUGUAUAACUCAGCCAUUUCUGGUCAUUUUUGACGUUUGAUUGGUCAGUUGGCGGUCUGUUCAGUUUGGAGGAUUCACUAAUGGGUUUAUUCAGUUUCUGAUGCUCCAAAAAAAAAUGGAAAACAAGAAGUGAAAAAAAAAAUCAAAGCAAAGUUUGCUAGAAACAAAACGUAGAAAGGGAGAUAAUGAAGAAAUAAUAAUAAACCUAUCACAAUUCUAGAGUCCUAUAACAUUAUGUGAAUAAAACCUUAAACAAAAAAUAACAGGAAAAGUAAAGAGAUAAGGGUAAGAGACAACACAAAGAAUUUAUCUUGGUUCACCCCAUAACCCGAGAUUACUUUCAGUCCCCUUGCACUUCUAAAGAAUUUUUCACGAUAAUCAAAACCUGAUUAUAACAACUGUACUAAGACAACCUUGCCCUAGAUUUCCUUGCCUCAACCUAGAGGACUUCCUAAUCUAAAUCCAAAGAUAUACAAGUUGUUUUUACAAAAGAUAGUGUUUACGCACACUCUAGGAGGGGUAAACAAAUAUGAAGCACGAUACACUUAAAGUGUAGCCUUAUAGAUAUUUACUUUCUCUUUUUCUAUACAAGGUAUAUACUAUGAACAAGUAUGCAUAUAAUUACAGUAGUAUAUAUGAACAUGUUAGACUUUGUAUAUGCUUGCAAGAGCAUCCACAAUGGUAGCUACUAAUAAGGACUCCUACAAUGACCCACGUUACACAUCAUUUAUUUAUAAUUUUUUAAUAAAAGUAUCUAUUAAGGACUCAAUGACUUCAAUGGUAGUACACUAGUAAGGACUCCAAUGAAAAGUACUUAAAUAGGCCCCACUAACUUUACAUCAUUAAACAAAAAUAAUUUCUUUAUUAAAUUAUAAAUUACCUCAUAAUAUUUAAUUAUAAUCCUUAAAAAAAAUUAAAUUAUAAAAUAUUUAUUUAUUCGCACGAACUUAAAUUUCUGCCACAUUUGCUAAUAAUUUGAAAAUGCAAAAAUUAACAUUACAAAUUUUACAUUCCUUCGUUAAAUAAUAAUAAUAAUUUGCAUAAAUUAAAUUUUAUUUAAAAUGAUGACAAAAACAUAAAAUAAUAUUUAAAACUACUAUUAAUAGGCAUCCAAUUAUUAAAAUAUUACUUCUUUUGCAAGUGGGAUCAACUAGUACAUAUUUUAUUAAUUCCUUUAAAUUUGAGACUCGUUAGUUGCCUAGGAGAGAGGGUCAUUAUAUAGUUGUCUGUUGCUUAAUAAGGACUCUUUUUUUCUUCCUCCAAUGGAGGGUAUUUAACAGGGAGUGAUCCUUGUUAAGUAAGGACCUCCUAUUGAAGAUGCUCUAGGUAUGUGUAGUGUCGUAACCUUCUUCAAUUCAACUUGGUCAUUUAUAUAGAGAUAAAGUAGAUGAUUGUUGAUGAAGAAAUUUUGUCUUUGAAUGCUUGAAUGAAUGUUGAGAUAUCUUGGAGAUUUGAAGCUCUGUGCUUUAGUCUUUCAAUUCAAUUAAUGAUGAUCUUAAAGGAGUUUUAUUCCAAUGCAUAAGUGAGAAUAAACUUUCCUUCUUUGAUAUAUUAGUUGUUGCGUGCAUCUAUAAUGAAUUACAAAGUCAUACGCUUGGUACUGAGGAUCCUACUCUAGAGGAUUAUACAUUAGAAUUGACUUUCACAGAUAACCUUAAUCUUGGUGCAAAGCUUUGCCUUUAUUUAUGACACUUUGCUAAUUAAGUUUCAGAGCUUCUAAAUACUUACGACGGAAUCAACGAGUCUUCUCUCUGCAUGCCUAAAUCAUCUAAGCCUAUUUUCUACCAACUUUUCUUCUAUAGGUGUUACCUCCACUCUUUCUAAUGGUGUUAUUCCUAAUCUUAUUCCGUCUAGUCUAAUUGUUCUUAAAUAUGUUUUGUACAUUGUUUUGUUAUCAUCAAAACUUUAAGGGUUUUGUUAUAUUAACCCAUUUUUGUCUAACAAUCUUCCACUCUUUGGUGAUGACAAACACCAACAAUUUAAUUAUACUUUAGCAUAUUGAUGAACAAUUUUCUCAAUAAGGUAGAGCUUUCAACAUAGAGGGAGGUUUGUAAGCUUGCCUUGAGUGCGAAAAUUCGAGAUUUAAUCAGUAGCAUAUUAACAUAUGAUAGAUAAAACACUAUGCUUUUUAAUAUAACUUAUGAUAUUAACUUCAAACAAAUAUAAAUAAAGCAGUGAUAUAUUACUCUCCCUUUUGUCAUCAACAAAAUCUAAUUUUAAUUAAUGACAGAGAAAUUAAAAAACAUGUGCUUAAAUGUAAAAUGCAGAGAAACAUAACAUUACAUUGAAGUAACCGAUCUAAAAAAAUUACACGAAGUCUAAAAACAAACACAGAAAUUAAGGAAAAAUGAGUACAAAGGAAUUCUAAAGGUCUUAUAAGGAAAUUUACAAAUAUGGGUUACACAAACAAAAAAAAGAGACACUCAUGAAAGCCUUCACUAAUCGAAUACUCCAAGAUGACAACAGUUCCUAUCACCACGUCAACACUGAAACUUCAAACUGUUGAGGUGAUGAUGAAAUUUGAGGCCAGGAGUACACAACCCAUCUCCCAAAGAAGAGAGCUUGUUGAGGAGUACAAGGUAGGCAUCCAAGCUAGAGAAACCACACGACAUGAGAUUAUGAAAACAUCAAGGAUCACUAUCUGGGAAACCUUGGUAUCAACUGAGUCAAACUUCUUAGAGAAGAUGCCUAAAAGUCGUUGAUUUUGUUUCAUGACAGAAGCUUGUUGCUCAAAGUCUUCAAAAUCUGAUGCCAUGGAAGGAUGAAGGUUUGGCGUGAAAGGGUUAGGGUUACACUAGCAAUUUUGAAAAGGAGUUUCUCCGAGGAGGAGGAGUAAAAACUGAACGUGUAAGACGAAAUGUGAGUAGUGUGUGAAGUGAGGUGUUUAAAUACAGUUUAUGUGCACAAGAAUAAGAAGAGAUUAUGCAUAAAAACCAAACAAAAUUAAUGACGAAAGGGGUGCAUGCAUCAUAGCCUUUACUCUAGGAAGUUAACAUCCAAUGAACGAAGAGACUUUUUAAAAGCCAUAAUGAGUAGUGGGACACAUGUCACAACUGCUUAUUACACUUUUCUACGUCACCACUAACUAGAAGAUCAAAAUACCUCAUGAGUUAGCACAAAAUGAUCCAUGUCACCAUGUCACUUUGCUCUAGAGUUUCAUUAGCGUUGAGGGUUAAUGAGUCUAGAGGAUGAGUGAUCCAGAAGAUCAGUAUCUCAACAGUGCUUAAACUACACCAGAGCUUAGCAAUUGCACUUAAACAUCUUAAUCUUUGAUAAAAUGCAUAUUUAAAUUUUUCUUUAUAAAAAUGAAUUUAUCCUCGGUAAGGGGUUUUGUUAAAAUAUUAGUCCAUUGAUAGUCUGUAUUAGCAAAUUUUAUAUCAAGAAUACCUUUCUCAACAUAGUCUCUAAUAAAAUGACGUUUAAUUUCAAUGUGUUUUGCUCUUGAGUGUAAAAUGUGGUUUUUAGAUAAACAAAUAUAAGUUUUAUUAUCACAACAAAUUGGAAUACAACUAUCACUUAUGUGAUAAUCCUUAAGUUGAUGUUUCAUCCAAAAAAGUUGUGUUCUAGAACUUGCAGCUGAGAUGUAUUCUGCUUCUGCGAUAAACAAGACAAUAGUUUGUUGUCUUUUGGUAGCCCAGGAGAUGAGGUUUUCACCAAUGAAUUGACAUCAACCACUUGCGCUCUUUCUUUCAAUUCUAUCGAUAUCAUAAUCAACAUCACAUAAUUCAACUAGCUUAUAUUCACUUGAUUUCUUAUACAACAAACCAAGAUUAGUAGAACAUUUCAGAUGCUUAAAAAUCCUCUUAAGAACAGUUAAGUGUGAUUCUCUAGGAUCUGAUUGGAAUCUUGCACACAAGCAUACACUAAAUAAAAAUAUAAGGUCUUGAAGUAGUUAAGUAAAGAACUAAAUCAAUCAUACCACUGUAAACCUUUGAAUCUACUUUACCACUACUAUCAUCUAAACCUAGAUCGCUGUUGGGGUGCAUAGAAGUUGCCAUUGGUUUUCAAUCCAUCAAAUUGAACUUCUUAAGCAAUUUUUUGUAUAUUUGGAUUCAUGAACAUUGACACCAUCCUUACACUAGCUAAUUUGAAUGUCUAGAAAGAAUUUCAGUUCUCCUAUCAUGUUGAUUUCAAAUAAUGAAAUAGUAUUAAUGUUCAUGUGCAUUCGUUGAAUUUCCUCCAAACACACCUUUGGGAUUCUAGCAAUAACACUUUUAGUCAAUAUCAAUCACUCUUCUAAAAAACGAUAAUUGAUUACCCUUCCAAGCCAUAGGUUUGGAACUAACCUGGUCAGUUAAAUAUGGGAAGUCAUGUCACUUUGAUGCUUUAUUAGUCAAUGGAACACGAAGGUAUUUCCCAAGAUUGUUAGUUUCUCGAAACCCCAAUGCUUGACCAAGUCUCUCCCUCAUGGUCCUAUUCAUAUUUUUGGAGAAUAUAAUACUUGUUUUUUCUUGAUUGAUAUCUUACCCUGACAUGUUAAAAAAAUGAGUCGGUAUUCCCAUGACAUUCAUUUAAGCGUCUGUCGCUUCUCCAAAUAGUAGUAAAUUAUAACAUCCCGAUUUUCCAACUUGAAAUUUUUUGCAUAAACAUCAUAGUAAUCAACUAAAACAGGAUGUCGCACUUCCUUAAAAUAUAAAUAGAGUAGAAUUACUAUUUAUUCAAAACAACUCAUGUCAUCAAUUCAAAUCUCAUUAUAGCGAAAAACAUUAAUUAAACAACGUAAUGGCACAACGGCCUCAACAUAAACAACUUAUAAAACUCCAUUCUAGGUGGUUCAUCAACAUAAUUCAUAGUAAUAUGUAACAAAUGGAAAAGAACACAAAUAUCCCCAUCCCAUUACGUAUCAGAGUGACCCUAAGACGACACGUGAGAGAGUCAACUCACUUCAAUAGUUAAUCCUGGUUAUCUGCACGUUACCCACGUAGAGGCAACAUUCAAACAGAAUGGGUGAGAUUUCACAUUCAAUAAUAAUAAGUAUAUAAUUCUUUUAAAGAAUUUAACAAUACAUGACAACAUCUAUUCAUCAUUAGCAAUACUAAUAAACAGUAAUUUAAGUAAGAGAACUUAUCAACAUAAACAACAAUCAAUUAAACAAUGUUAAUGCUUCACAUAAUUCGAACUGUACAUCAUCAAUUAACUUCAAAUCAUCAUUAACAAUGGUGCACAUAAUUUCUCAAUAACAACUCAUUAAUUAUUUUGACAACUUGACAAUACGACGACAACACCGACAAUGACAACAACAGCGACUUUGCAUCAUAAUAUCAUUUUUAUCGAUAUAUAUAUAUAUAUAUAUAUAUAUAUAUAUAUAUAUAUAUAUUCAUAUAGUAAUACAUUAAUCAUUAAUAACAUCAUAUCACAUCAUAGUUAUCAACAGGUACAUUCAUAUAAGAAUUCAACUUCAUAUAACGUCAUAUUCAUCAACAUAUACAUUCAUAUAAUAAUUCAUCAAUAAUGAACAACAUCAUAUUCAUCAAUCAUAAACAACAUCAUAUAACAUCAUAUUCAUCAAUCAUAAACAACAUCAUAUAACAUCAUAUUCAUCACAUGAUAAGGGGUCACCUUGCCGAAUUCUCCGUAGGGAACGAAAAUACUUUGUUCUACCUCCAUUCCAUUUCACAGUAGUCUCUGCACAUAACUGAUAGCAUUAUAACAUUUUCCAAACUCUCUGGUAUAUUGAUCUCAAUCUAUAUCCAUAUAAACUCCCAGUUAAACUCUUUUGGUGGUGGUCGGGGUUUGAACCCCGGACCUUGCAUAUAUUAUGUAUUGUCCAUACCAACUGAAUUAAACUCCCAGCUAAACUUAUCGUAGGCUUGAAGAGUUGUGUAGGUUUUCUGCUACAAUUGCUAAUUAAUAAUAACUGAUUUUCAGAAAUUGCCACUUGUCAAUUUUUUUUCAAUAAAAAAAGUAACUUGUUUUCAUAAAAGCUAUAUUAUAUAGGCAAAUUCUAUGGUACACCCAAAAAUUUGAGUGUACCGGUACACCAAAUCGAUAAUUAAUGAUCAAAUGAGUUGUUGUUUUUAAGAAAAAGAAUUAUUUUAUAUCAUUAACAAUUAUAAUAAUUAAAUCUUAUUUAACAAAAGCUUCGACGAAAUAAUUUUUUUUUUUUGAAUUUUUAUUACUUAUAAUAAAGAAUAUUGAUAAUUUUUUAUGAAAAAAAUGUUAAAAAUUCAAUAUGAUUCUUAUAAACAAUAAAAUGAUUUUUGUUUUAUAUGAAAUGAUGUUUUCUAAAAUAUAAAUAUUGACUAAUAGCUUUUUAUUUCAUAAAAUGAUCUUUAAUUUAUAAAUUUAUAGAGCGAGAGUACCGGUACACCUCAAUUUAUGAGGUGUACCGUAGAAGCAACCUAUUAUAUAUAUAAUCGUCUCUUUCUAAUUCUAAAUUAGAAUUUCAUUAUUUGUGCAGUAUAUAUUAAAUUAUAGAAACGAAAUGAAUGAGUUUUUUACUUUUGUAUUUUCUCUUCAUUUUACUAAUCCAAUUGAUAUUUCAUUUUUACUUCAAAAAUAUAUGUUUCACUAGUUUCCCUUUUUUAUUUCUCACUUUGCUGUUUAAUAUACUUGAUCAUGCUAUUUAUUUAAUAUUUGGAGCCUAAAUCAGCCAGUAACAUUGUCUCUAAUGUUACAGCAUUCUAGAAACAAUUGAACGAUACCGCAGUCAUACCAGGAUUAAUAAUACUCCAACAACAUCUGAAUCAGUUGAAAAUACUCAGGUUUAUUACUUAUACCUCUUAUUAUUGCUGUCUUUCUAUUCAUCAUCUAGUCUAGAAUUUAUCUAGAAUUUAAAUAGUACUUGUUUCUAGUCUAGAAUUUAAAUAGUACUUGGUAAAAUGAUUGAUUUUCUAGAUGCUAGAAAUUACGGGUUUUUCUUAGAUAAAUGCAAAUUCCAGUCACAUGCUUCGAAUGUUUCACCUUAAUUUCGAUCAUGUCUAGGAAGACUUUGUGCUAUAAAUAUUAGUUAGUAAAUAGGAUUUUGCAUAGAUAUUUGUGGCCCAUUAUUUUCUUUAAGACAUCUUGAGUUUUUUCCUUGCCCAUUUUCUUGAAGAUUGUGGAAGUAGGGUUUUUAACAAUGUUUUUAAAAAUUUCUUCAAAAAAAUAAAAACUGGUUUUAAAAAUACUAAAUAAAGUGAAAAUUAAAUAAUAAAUUUGUUGUUGUUAACCGAAAUGGGAAAUAAAGAGAACAUGUUUUAGGAAACCAAAUAAGCUUUUCUCAGCCUGAGUUUGGGCUUGCAACAACAAUAAAACUUUUGGGGAGAAUUUGACGCCAAUUUAGAUAGAUCUCACAAGGUUCGAGAGAUUAAUCUCUACAAUUGUAAUUAAACUUUACCUAAGUAAAAAAAAGAAAGAAGAACACUUACUUAACCCUUAAAAAAAACACACAAAUAAGCACAUAUAAAUCAAUACCUGAAAUCCAUGUCCUCAAAUUUGUAACAUCUUCAAUGUAAUUUAUACUACCUCCGUCCCUAAUUAUAAGACCCUUUUGAGAAAAAAUUUAUCCCUUUUUAUAAGACCCCUAUGGUAUUUCCAAGUACAUUAAUUAUUUCUUUAUUAAUAUACCCUUAUUUAUUUUGCAUUUUUUUCUUCAAUCAACAAUAAAUAUUAUGUUGAAAACAUAAAUUAACUCUCUCUUAAGGAUAAAAUUGUAAAAACAAUAGUAAUUAAAUACAAAUUUAAUACUACAACCAACUUUUUUAAUCUCCAUAAUUUUGGAAAAGGCUCCUAUAUUUAGGGACGGAGGUAGUAUCUCAAAUGUUUCCUAUUUUUGUUUAUCUAGACACUCAUUUUCAACUUGAGAGACUUCAAGUUUAAAUGAAAUUUCUUUAAAUAUUACAGCAAUUGAAGGAAGAAGCAGAAAACAUGAUGAAGAAGAUUGACCUUCUUGAGACUUCAAAACGGUUAAUUAAAGAUCUUGAAUUUCUGUUCAUGAUGACUAUUUUUUUUUUCAUUUUUCAAUAUUCAAUGUCUAAUUUCUCUGAAAAGAAUAUGGCAUUUGAAAUAAUUUCAUACCCUCAGGAAACUCUUAGGAGAAGGUUUAGGGUCUUGUUCCAUUGAUGAACUACAAAAGAUAGAACAACAGUUGGAGAAAAGCAUAAACAAAAUUCGAGUCAAAAAGGUUAGUAGCAUGAUCAAAGCGUAUAAAAUUUUAAAGUUUAUAGGUAGUUUCUAAAUCUGAAUUUUCUAUUUUGCAGACUAAGGUUUUCAGGGAGCAAAUUGAUCAGCUAAAAGAAAAGGCAAGCUCUCUCUAUAUUUAACAGGCUGGUUUACACCUCAUUUGCUUUUUCUAAGACAAAUAUUAGUAAUUCGUAUCGGGGUUUUAAAUAGUUGUUGUGGUAACAAUAGUGUCCGUAUUACGGUGCUUGAUACUGAAUAGAAUCGCAGUCAAAUGUGGACACAGUCGCGGCUGCCUUGCGGUUUUGGCAACCUAAAAAACCAUUAUGUGCGAGAUAGAUAGCGGUUUUGAACCUUUAUUUAAAACCCUAAUUAGUAUAAAUGUCACUCAUAUUUAUUACAAGUUGUAAUCCCAAGUUGUAAUUCAAAACCAUGCUGGCCACAUCUGCAUAUAUUUCUUCAAUUUUAUUAUAACAUAUGUGGUCAAAUUCAGAUUCAGACUAAUAUACUUUUCUAACCAAAUGUGAAUUUGAAAUGCUGUCUAACUAAGAAGCAUUUCUCUAUUCAUUCUUUAUCUAAAGAGUUUGUGGUUAGUUCCUUUUCUAUAUAUCAUUCUUAGUUGAAAAGAGAAAAGCUUCACAAGUUAAUGCACAUUGAAAUAACUCGCCGCUAGAUUUGCAUCAAAAAGAUUCUGACCAAGUUAAACUGUUUUGAAUACAAUUCAGGAAAAAGCCCUAGUUGCUGAAAAUGUCAGGCUCUCUGAGAAGGUAAUUUACUUUCUAUCUGGAAAGUUCAUAAAGUUCUUGAAACUUCUAGAAAAAAUUCAAAUGACGAGGGAAACUUAGCUAUGUAAAAAGGCUAAACCUAUCUCUUAAGGGUUAGAAACCCAGCAAAUUUAUUUAGAGACCAAUUUCAUUUUGAUUUGUCUCUAUUUCCGUCGUUAAUUAUUUCAAAUUUUUCUAGUUGUGACUUUAACAUUUGAUUUCAAAAUUGAAAUAUAUAAACCUUUAAAUUAUGGAUUGAAAAUCCAAAUUUGUGUGCAGUAUGGUAACUAUUCAACACAGGAAUCAACAAAGGAUCAGAGAGAAAAUAUAGCUGAAGCUGAACCUUAUGCAGAUCAAAGUAGUCCAAGUUCAGAUGUGGA
rnacentral:lncRNA from 1 species